rnacentral:rRNA from 1 species
GACGAACGCUGGCGGCGUGCUUAACACAUGCAAGUCGAGCGAUGAAGCACCUUCGGGUGUGAAUUAGCGGCGAACGGGUGAGGAACACGUGAGAAAUCUGCCUUCAACUCUGGGAUAACUCCGGGAAACCGGGGCUAAUACCGGAUAUGAGCCUUGAUCGCAUGAUCGGGGCUGGAAAGUUUUUCGGUUGAAGAUGAUCUCGCGGCCUAUCAGCUUGUUGGUGAGGUAAUGGCUCACCAAGGCGACGACGGGUAGCCGGCCUGAGAGGGCGACCGGCCACACUGGGACUGAGACACGGCCCAGACUCCUACGGGAGGCAGCAGUGGGGAAUAUUGGGCAAUGGAGGAAACUCUGACCCAGCGACGCCGCGUGCGGGAUGAAGGCCUCGGUU